GCCCACAGUCUAGAUGCUUACAAAUCUUCUGCAAAAAAUGAGAUUUUUGUACAACACAAGAGACAGAAUAAUAGAAGAGCAAUUACAAUUUUCAUAGCAACCAAGCAUCAUAAGAAUAUUUUAUUAUAGUGGUGAAACUAUUCAUAAUGCUUUUGAUUAGUUUCUAAAGCAAUCAACAAACUUCCUUUUUGAUUAUGAUACCAUGCCACCAACUAUUACAUAAUUGAAGAUCAGUACAAACCCU
rnacentral:lncRNA from 1 species